AAGCCUGUCAUUGAGUUAGCCUAGCCUUCUCACCUGUUUUAUGACAACAAAGUGCUUUCAAAUUUCAAGGGUUUCCAGGACCAUAGUGGACACUCACUCCUUGCUCUUCUGCCUCUAGCUACUGAGGUCAAUCAUAAAACAUGACAUCAGUUUUCAGAUCAGGAUGUAGUUCUCGGCAAUUGCUCCAGUACCUGCCUGCCUGCCACAGUGCUCCCCACCAUGACUACAAUGGAAUAAACCUCUGAAACUAAGCAAACCUA